rnacentral:rRNA from 1 species
UACGUAGGUGGCAAGCGUUGUCCGGAAUUACUGGGUGUAAAGGGAGCGCAGGCGGAACUGCAAGUUGGGUGUUUAAUCUACGGGCUCAACCCGUAUCAGCAUUCAAAACUGUGGUUCUUGAGUAAUGCAGAGGUAGGCGGAAUUCCCGGUGUAGCGGUGGAAUGCGUAGAUAUCGGGAGGAACACCAGUGGCGAAGGCGGCCUACUGGGCAUCAACUGACGCUGAGGCUCGAAAGCAUGGGUAGCAAACAGGAUUAGAUACCCUGGUAGUCCAUGCUGUAAACGAUGAUUACUAGGUGUGGGAAGAUUGACCCUUUCCGUGCCGCAGUUAACACAAUAAGUAAUCCACCUGGGGAGUACGACCGCAAGGUUGAA